GAUUACACAGUACCGCAACAGGUUUCCGUAAUAUAUUCAUGUCUCCCUUAUUUGACUCUAGAUAUUAUUAUUUAGUUGUUUUUCUUCGACACACGUGUUUUUGUUUUUUCAUUGAAAAAUGUCAGACCUAGAUUCUUCCGAUUCAGAGAGUGUAGAUUCUGAUACUCAGGUAAAUUUCAGCUGUAUAUAACAAAUGACGACAGUAAAAGUUUAGGGGAAGUCUGCUAUUCGACUGUCGUUUUCAAGAGGUUUCAUCAGACAUCAGUUCAUCAUCCCAGGUUGGUUCACAGGGGUUUGUUACAAUUGCCGGGUUUACUAAUACUAUCCAUACGAACCCCUUUUUUAGAAGUUCGUAUGGAUAGUAAACCUGGCAGUUGUAACAAACCCCUGUGGUUGGUUCUAACACGUACAACUUAUUUGAGCUUAUGUAGCUUGCUUUUCACAUUUGACAGGUUGGGAACAAACCCUCUAUAUGGUGAUUAUACCUGUAUAGAGGGAUAAUCCUUCUAUAGAGGGGUAUUUUUGUUUAGACUGGAUUUAUAUCAAAAUAGGGCAGAAUGGCAUUCUCUACUUAUUAUGGCAGUAACCUGGAACAGUUGAUGCACCAAUUGAUGUAUUUAAUUUAAUAUGCACAUGCCCAGUUUGAUGCUUAUCCGACUAAAUAUAAAAUCUAUUGUUCACCAUGAUUGAAAGCUGUGAUGAUCAGGAAAAUUCUACUCACUUAUGCCUCACUGAACAGAAUUUCUAUUGUUAGAUUAGUCCGAGAUUACUCUGAUGUCCAACGGCUGUUUUGACAGACAAGCUGGGGCCGUGGGACGUCAGAGCUCGUCCAUAUCAAAAAGUGAUAUUUGCCACCCAAAUAAUGCGAUCUUGUCGCUUCUGGUGCCGACUGACGGCUGAAUUAUAUAAAUCGGCAUCAAUCUGUUCAUUUUCAUUAUUCUUCAUUUAUGUAAGUUUCACUUACUGCCAACAAUUUAUUUUCUCAUUAUUAGACAUUUUCACAGUGACCAUAGAUUUCGCAUUUUGACUUUCACUUCAAAUGGGUCAAGUUACGAGAGAGUUCAUGUUCGAGACUCAAAAUAUGCAAAUAUUUUAUUUUUUCACCUCUUUAUAGGUGAUGAUGUUAAACAUUACAAGAACCAUGAUUUUUCACCCCUUUACAGAUGGAUGAAGCAUUUAGUUCCGACACGUUACAAUCGAAGCUCUCGGACAUUAGAAACUUCAUCGUAAUGACAGUGUUAAUUAUGGUCAAUUUGCAUAAAUAUCACUGUUUUCUCUGGUCAUGUGAUAAUCUUGAAAAUGAAAGGCAAAAUGCCGAAAUCAAUGGUCACUGUGAAAAACGUCUAAUGAUGAGAAAAUAAAGGUGCAGUAGGUGAAACUUACAUAAAUGAAGAGAUAAAUGAAAAUGAACAGAUUAUGCCCAUUAUUAAUUCCAAGGCCAUCAGUCGCACCAGAAGGACAAAGCAGCGCACUAUUUUGGUGGGCAAAUACCACUUUUUGAUAUGGACGAGCUUGACGUCCACGGCCCGCUUGUCUGCAAAACAGCCGUGACGUCAGAGUAAUCUCGACUAUUGUUAGAUUUAACAUGAAAUUUAAGGUCAACUAUUCCUUUGUUGUUGAUCAGGGUUCAGAUAGGUCUACAAUAGAUCAAGUUUGUCACUUUAGCAGAAAAUGUAUCCCAGUUUUUAAGUAAGUGCAUAUUUGAUGUAUAAUGCUAGAUUAUAGCCAAUAUAACUAGAAAAUGCCGUCUGCCCCAAUUGCUUUAAAUCCAGUGCAAAACAAAAAACCCCUCAUAGAGGAAAUUUUAUCCUCUAAAGACGGAUUAUCCCUGUAUACAGGUAUAAUCACCAUACAGGGGGUUUGUUCCCAACCUGUUUGAAGUUACAUGUAGACUGAGCUAUUAAAAUCUAUCCAAGUUUCUGCAUUAGUAAUUGGAGUAUCCUUGUAAGACCAAUAACAGACUCACUCAGAAUAUGCCAGUGCAGUAUCAUGUAUGGGAUGGUAUCGGGUCUGUCAUUUAUUUUUAUUUCAUAAAUAAUUUAACUGAAUACAAUUAUUUUGUUAACACAUAUCAAUAAAGAUAAAUGCAUUGUAUAUAUAUAUAUUCUACUAUGCAAAUCAAAGGGAAAAUAGUAAAUUGGUUGCGGCAAUACAAAUAUUCAGUCAAUUUUUCAACAAACUUUAACAUUUUCUGUUCAACUAAUAAACAUAAUGCAACUUGACAAUAAUUACAAAAAAAAAUAAAAAUCAGGGCGAAUAGACUCUGGGUGAACAGAUAUCACGGCGAACAUGUACAAGGGCUAACAGACCCGGAUUCAUAUGGGAUCCAUACAAUAUAACAGAAAUCACUUGAACAAAGACAAAAAGAUGCAAGACUUACCAUAGAUAUAUAUAGGAAGAUAUGGUGUGAGUGCCAAUGAGACAACUCUCCAUCCAAAUAACAAUUUAUAAAAGUAAACCAUUAUAGGUCAAUGUACGGCCUUCCACACAGAGCCUUGGCUCACACCGAACAACAAGCUUUAAAGGGCCCAAAAUUACUAGUGUAAAACCAUUCAAGUGGGAAAACUAACAGUCUAUAAAUCUAUAUAAAAAAGCUCUUCAAAAUAGAAAGUGAGAAAGUUGCUGUAACAAGGGAAAAUUGUCUGAUUCCACCUAAACGAUUGUCAAGAAAUAUGCAUGACAGAAGCUUCCAAAUUUCAGCAGAAUUAUAGAAUUACCGGAAAUAUUCCUUCUUUCCACCAACCAUCAAAGAUUGGAACACUCUCCCUCCUGGGGUAAUAUCAGCACCAUCAGUCAAGGCUUUUAAUCCUUCCCUACAGGCAUAUUAAUGAUCCUAUGGGUAAUUACAUUCUAAUACUUUACAGCCCUUGUAAAAAAAUAUGUAAUGUAACCACUUGCUCAGAGAUUAUAUCCUUGGUAAACAAUAGACACCACUUUAUUAAAUGAUACAUUUUGUAUUUGCCUUGGAGAGGUAAGAGGAAGAUGUUGUUAGUGCCCAAGAUGUAUAACCUAUUGACAGUUACAGUUACAGACCGGCAUGUUGAAGCACAGAGUAGACAACAACUCCCUUUUAGAAUGACACACUAGACUGCAUGCCAAUUGAAAUGAAGACAUAAAGUUUCAGAAAGGGCUUUCUCUACGUGGACAAAAAUUCUGUGGCUGAUUAGAAAUGAAGAAAAUAAGAUUUCAGGAAGAAAAACAACACUAUUUUUUAUGACAGGUGUAUCAAUUAAUCAACUAAUGAAAGUGGUGUAAAGAUCAAAUGGUUUACAUGCAGUCAGUGAUCGGAAAGGACUUGCGCCCUGCGCCUAUAGCACAUAUCGACCAGAAAUGGCGCAUAGAGUGAACAAUGUAAGGGCCCACGUGGCGCUCGAUAUUUUUCACUUCAUUUCGAAACAUUUAGAUAUCGUCAAAUGGAUUUCUGAUCGUACUAUAUUGUGUUCCUUGCCGCCAUGUGUGUGUACACAACUGUGUAAUGUUCCUCCAAUAUAGAGCACCUAUAUAAUUUUUGGGACGUCCGGGUGUUUUUAGGUAAUAAUAAACCAUGCGGUAUAACGAUUCCAAAAAAUCGUAAUUAACCAUCAUUCAUGAUAAUUUUUAUAACAACUUUAAAUUGAUUUGUCUAGUACAGACAAGAUUUUUCUAACAUAGUCUUUUAAGUUAGCUUAGCUUACUAUAUUCGAUUGAAAAACCAAAGCCUUUUCAUGAUAUAGUUUUUUGUCUCCAUAAAAAGGUGCUUAACUUUCUUGUCAUUUUUUGGUCUUUGGCUCGUUUGACAUUUUUAAACAUACUUCAGCGAAUUAUUGUUUGUUCUAUAAUUAAUAUACUCUCUACUGUUAUUCUUGUCAUCGUGAUGAAGUAAUGAUAAUACAAGAAGUGCAGAGGAAAUGCCAGAAACAUCUUCUAAAUACAAAGCGUCUGGAAUAAGUAUGGUAUCGACGAAGACCCAAAUUUAAUGUAAAAAAAAACAAGAACAUGAACAUCAACAUACCAGUUUUAACAUUGUAAACAAAGGUUCUCUUAAAUGUUGUCCGGUUUGGAAGAAGUUAUUGUAUAUUCAUUGAAAUUGAAAUCAAUAAAAUCACAGGAGCAAUAUCCAAAAUAUUAAUUAUAAUCAUAAAGGUAAGUACCACCACCUCUUAGCAUACACUCUUUUUUUUUACUGUAGUCAAUUCAAAUGGCCCACUCAUUUGACAACAUGGCCCAUUGAAUUUAUUUUUUGGGGGCCCUGGGCCCAUUGAGAAAAAAUCCUUCCAGAUCACUGGCAGUAAACUUCAUAUAUUUCCUCUAGAAAAUAUCAAAUGAGGCAAACACUUACAGGCCUAAGGAUAGUAAAACCUUUCUAUUACUGUGGUAAAAUUUAUUUUUGUGAGUAUCAAUAUCACCUGGAUUCAGAAACAUUUGUAUUUUCCUGGAUAUUAGAUUUCAUGGUUUUUACAAACUCUGCAUACAAAGCCUGUAGAAAAUUUGUACUUAUUUGAAUAUUUGAAUUGGUGGUUACCUGUACCCACCAAACCGACAAAAAUUGGUAUUAAAUGAAUAAUAAUGAAGCCUCAGCAAUGCUCAGUAACUGUCAUUAUAAUAUUUGAACAUAAACAGCAAUUAGUUUAUGAAUGUUAUAUAUUCUUGCAGUUGCAAUUAGACUUCAGUUCUGGUAAACUGAAACCUGGACUAAAUGUAGCUCUGCCAGCCAGUAUAGAAAAACAUUAUAUCAACGAUGUGG
rnacentral:lncRNA from 1 species